UGAGUGGCGGACGGGUGAGUAACGCGUGGGCAACCUGGCCUGUACAGGGGGAUAACACUUAGAAAUAGGUGCUAAUACCGCAUAACGGGAGAAGCCGCAUGGCUUUUUCCUGAAAACUCCGGUGGUACAGGAUGGGCCCGCGUCUGAUUAGCCAGUUGGCAGGGUAACGGCCUACCAAAGCGACGAUCAGUAGCCGGACUGAGAGGUUGGCCGGCCACAUUGGGACUGAGACACGGCCCAGACUCCUACGGGAGGCAGCAG
rnacentral:rRNA from 1 species